rnacentral:lncRNA from 1 species
CAAUUUACAUUCGUUUUUGACCUACUGUAAAAAAUACUGUUUAUUUAUGUAGCUCCUCACAAUUCCUCUGGUCAAAAUAACAAAUAUCCCUUGAUGCAUUUAUUAUCUUGUUGACUGUUUUCUUGGAGUCUCCUGAUUUUCCUCUUCUUAUAUGUUUAUCCAUUUUUACUUUAAAUUUAUAUUUAAAUGUUGGCCUUCAUCUCUCUUUAUACAUUUCAUGGGUGGUCUCACUUGUUACUAUUAAUUUACAUAGGACCUGCAUGCCAACAAUCUCAAAUUUACAUCUCAGCCCAGACCUCUUUUCUGGGAUCCAGACUUGUGUAUCCAUACAUCUACUUGAUACCUCCUCUUGUAUGUCCCAGAAACAUACAAACAGAAAUGUUCAAACUUGGUUUGUUGAUUCACCCCUGUUCUGUCAGCCAGGUCUUAUUUUUUUCUAUUUUUUUUUUCCAAUUGAUAGUAUAUGGUGCCAACAUUCACCCAGAUAGUCAAACCAAUAAAUACACAAGUAAAGUAAAAUAAAUAACUAAAUAAAACUAGAACAUAUCAUUGACUUAUUUCUUUCAUCAUCUGUAUGCAUAUGCAAUCUAUUAUUAAAUCCUAGUAGUGCUAUCUGUAAAAUAAUUCUCCAUAUAGCCAUCUGUUUUCGUUUGCUUGCGCUGCCAUAACAAAAUCCUGGGAGGCUUAAACAACAGAAAUCUCUUUCUCACAGUUCUAUAGGCUGGGAAGUUAAAGAUCAAGGUGCCAGCAUGGUCAGUUCCUCAUAAGGGUGUUCUUGCUGACUUGUAGAUGACUAUCUUUUUGCUGUGUCCUUACAUCAUGGAGAGAGCAGUCUGGUAUUUCUUUCUCUUCUUAUAAGGAUAUCAGUCCUAUCAAAUUAGGACCCCACCUUUCUGACCUCAUUUAUCUUCAAUUCCCUCCUCACAGGCCAUAUGUGAGGCAGUAAUUGAAGGCUUCAAUACAUGAAUUUUGUGGGAGCCCUCUCUCUGUUUCCGCGGCCACCAUCCUUGUCCUAAUCACCAGCAUCUCUUAUCUGUCAAUUCAACAGACUCUUAAUUGUCUUGCUGCUUUCAGUGUUGCUUUCUGCAAUUUGUUUUGUAGUGAGAAAUCAAAGUGGUCUUUUAAAAAUUUAAUUACUUAAUUUUACUUCCCUGCUUAAAUCCUUGAAUGGUUUCUCAUUGCACUGUGAAUAUAAACAAAAUCCUUUAGCAGGGCCUCUAAGACCAUACCUUAUUCUCCCUCUCUGUCAAAAAACACUGGUGAUACUGGCCUUCUGCCACAUUCUAGAAUAACAUACCACAUACCUUUUCACACACCAAAUUCUCAAAUCUCCUUCCCCUGUACCCGGAAUACAAUUCUGUCAGCACUUCACCUUGGCUACCUCUUUGCCAUACUUGUCAUCUCAGCUGAAACAUCACUUCAUCAGAGAGGUCUUCUCCAAUUGCUGACGGGUUGAUGGAUGCAGCAAACCACCAUGGCAGGUGUAUACCUAUGUAACAAACCUACACAUUCUGCACAUGUAUCCCAGACUUAAAGUAUAAUAACAAAAAAAAAGAAUCUUUAAAAAAAUAAAAUAAAAAUA